UACAGAGGUCUCAAGCGUUGUUCGGAUUCAUUGGGCGUAAAGGGUGCGUAGGUGGCGCUGUAAGUCGGGUGUGAAAUUUCGGAGCUUAACUCCGAAACUGCAUUCGAUACUGCGGUGCUUGAGGACUGGAGAGGAGACUGGAAUUCAUGGUGUAGCAGUGAAAUGCGCAGAUAUCAGGAGGAACACCGGUGGCGAAGGCGGGUCUCUGGGCCGAUACUGACGCUGAGGAGCGAAAGCGUGGGGAGCAAACAGG
rnacentral:rRNA from 1 species